AAUAGAUACCCGGGUAGUCCACGCCGUAAACGAUGAAUGCUAGGUGUUAGGGGUUUCGAUACCCUUGGUGCCGAAGUUAACACAUUAAGCAUUCCGCCUGGGGAGUACGGUCGCAAGACUGAAACUCAAAGGAAUUGACGGGGACCCGCACAAGCAGUGGAGUAUGUGGUUUAAUUCGAAGCAACGCGAAGAACCUUACCAGGUCUUGACAUCUGAAUGACCGGUGUAGAGAUACACCUUUCCUUCGGGACAUUCAAGACAGGUGGUGCAUGGUUGUCGUCAGCUCGUGUCGUGAGAUGUUGGGUUAAGUCCCGCAACGAGCGCAACCCUUGAUCUUAGUUGCCAGCAAGUAAGGUUGGGCACUCUAAGGUGACUGCCGGUGACAAACCGGAGGAAGGUGGGGAUGACGUCAAAUCAUCAUGCCCCUUAUGACCUGGGCUACACACGUACUACAAUGGCUGGUACAACGGGAAGCGAAGUCGCGAGAUGGAGCGAAUCCUAUAAAAGCCAGUCUCAGUUCGGAUUGCAGG
rnacentral:rRNA from 1 species